UACAGAGGUCCCAAGCGUUGUUCGGAUUCACUGGGCGUAAAGGGUGCGUAGGUGGCCCGGUAAGUUUGGUGUGAAAGCUCGGAGCUUAACUCCGAAAAGUCAUUGAAUACUAUCUGGCUGGAGGGUCGGAGGGGAGACUGGAAUUCUCGGUGUAGCAGUGAAAUGCGUAGAUAUCGAGAGGAACACCAGUGGCGAAGGCGAGUCUCUGGACGACUCCUGACACUGAGGCACGAAAGCUAGGGGAGCAAACAGG
rnacentral:rRNA from 1 species